UUUUAAAGAAAUAAAUUAAUUUACUCUUUAAAAUUUUAUUUCUAAUGGCAUACCUAUGUAAUUACUUACAAAAAAUAAGGUUAUAUUUAAAAUGUACUUUCCAAAUAAUAUAGUAGAAUGAGUUUCUUAACCGUUAUUUAAAUAUGAGAU
rnacentral:sRNA from 1 species